UGAGGAAUAUUGGACAAUGGGUGAGAGCCUGAUCCAGCCAUCCCGCGUGAAGGACGACGGCCCUAUGGGUUGUAAACUUCUUUUGUAUAGGGAUAAACCUACUCUCGUGAGAGUAGCUGAAGGUACUAUACGAAUAAGCACCGGCUAACUCCGUGCCAGCAGCCGCGGUAAUACGGAGGGUGCAAGCGUUAUCCGGAUUUAUUGGGUUUAAAGGGUCCGUAGGCGGAUCUGUAAGUCAGUGGUGAAAUCUCAUAGCUUAACUAUGAAACUGCCAUUGAUACUGCAGGUCUUGAGUAAAGUAGAAGUGGCUGGAAUAAGUAGUGUAGCGGUGAAAUGCAUAGAUAUUACUUAGAACACCAAUUGCGAAGGCAGGUCACUAUGUUUUAACUGACGCUGAUGGACGAAAGCGUGGGGAGCGAACA
rnacentral:rRNA from 1 species